rnacentral:lncRNA from 1 species
GUCGGGAUGUCCUUUUUAAAGAAAGUAUGAAAUGCUCAAGGUCUUGGACCGGAAUUAAUGUUUUACUGAAUAUUGUUCAUUAUAAAACGUUUUAAAGAAAAGAGAAAUGCUAUUUUGAAUUAUCGAUAGUACUUCAUAACUAUUGUUCAGUUAUUGAAGAUGUAUGAUUUGUAUGAUUCAAGCAUAUUGUUAAAUGGAAUUAUUGUACUUGCUAAGCUAGUUAUGCUCAUUCUUGCUUGAACCAUAUGAAUGCAGCUAAGACCGAACGGACCGAAGGAUCCGACACGGAUAAAGGCAAGGCUAAGGCGCACCCGUAGAAUACCUUUGUAAUAGUAUAUGUUUGUAAUGAUAAUAUUUGAUAUUAUGACAAGAACAAAUGUAACGGUUAUAAAAAACUUGGGGAAUGGUAAUAAUGAUUUGCAAUAUAUAUAAGACAUUUAUUUUUUUGAGGCAUUUCGAUUGAAUGUUUGUGUGAACUAUAGCACCGUAGAGCACUAUCUAUCGAGUUAGAAGAUACCCAAAUUUGGAGGCGUCACAGUAUUUAAAUAGCUUUUAGUUGAUUUAUUUUCUGUGCUCAUAAGUUAACUAGCCACCAUACCACAGUAGAAUAGUCCAUAAAGUAUUGAAAGGGGUGUUCUUAAAAUAAUGCAUGUUAAGAAUCAUCUCUAAAUAAGGGCUUAUAUGUAACGGAAAGUGUUAAAAGUUACUAUAACCACCUAAAAUUUUACAGUCUCAUGAAAAUGAAAUAACUUAAGUUUCCAUAACCUAAAAUUUUACAAUCUCAUGAAAAUGAAAUAACCUACUUGUUUAAUUAUGCAUAGGGUAUUAUUCAGUUGUAAUUUAUAAAUACAAUUAGAAUGAGAACAAAGAAUACAAAACAAUUUAUUUAUUUUUUAAAAACCAAUUCAUCAAAAAUUGGCCUUGAAAAACAAUAAUUUACAAACCAUACCACCUAAAAAUUGUUCAAACAAGACUACUCAACAAAAAAAUAGGUGACCAAAUUAUGCAUAAAAACGUGCAAAAGCAAACACUGCCAAGCUGUCCUCUGUUUUCUAAUUAGUAAUCAGCAACUGUGCAAUCCAAGAACACUUGCUCNNN